UACGUAGGGGGCAAGCGUUGUCCGGAUUUAUUGGGCGUAAAGAGCGUGUAGGCGGCUUUACAGGUCCGUUGUGAAAACUCGAGGCUCAACCUCGAGACGCCGGUGGAAACCGUAAAGCUAGAGUCCGGAAGAGGAGAGUGGAAUUCCUGGUGUAGCGGUGAAAUGCGCAGAUAUCAUCAGGAACACCGGAGGCGAAGGCGGCUCACUGGGGCUUAUCUGACGCUGAGGAACGAAAGCCAGGGGAGCGAACGGG
rnacentral:rRNA from 1 species